UCACAUUGUUGAAACUCCGGUUACCAUAUGAUCACUGAAGUUAAACAAUGUCGAGUCUGGUCAGUACUGAGAUGGGUGAUCACUUGGGAAUACCAGGUGCUGUAAG